AACGAACGCUGGCGGCAGGCCUAACACAUGCAAGUCGAGCGAGAUCUUCGGGUCUAGCGGCGAACGGGUGAGUAACGCGUGGGAAUAUGCCUCUUGGUACGGAAUAGCCUCGGGAAACUGGGAGUAAUACCGUAUGUGCCCUUUGGGGAAAGAUUUAUCGCCAAGAGAUUAGCCCGCGUUGGAUUAGGUAGUUGGUGGGGUAAUGGCCUACCAAGCCGACGAUCCAUAGCUGGUUUGAGGGGAUGAUCAGCCACACUGGGACUGAGACACGGCCCAGACUCCUACGGGAGGCAGCAGUGGGGAAUCUUAGACAAUGGGGGCAACCCUGAUCUAGCCAUGCCGCGUGAGUGAUGAAGGCCUUAGGGUUGUAAAGCUCUUUCAGCUGGGAAGAUAAUGACGGUACCAGCAGAAGAAGCCCCGGCUAACUCCGUGCCAGCAGCCGCGGUAAUACGGAGGGGGCUAGCGUUGUUCGAAAUUACUGGGCGUAAAGCGCACGUAGGCGGACCAGAAAGUUGGGGGUGAAAUCCCGGGGCUCAACCCCGGAACUGCCUUCAAAACUAUUGGUCUGGAGUUCGAGAGAGGUGAGUGGAAUUCCGAGUGUAGAGGUGAAAUUCGUAGAUAUUCGGAGGAACACCAGUGGCGAAGGCGGCUCACUGGCUCGAUACUGACGCUGAGGUGCGAAAGCGUGGGGAGCAAACAGG
rnacentral:rRNA from 1 species